rnacentral:lncRNA from 1 species
UGAAAGGAAAAAAAAUAAAAUCUUUCUAAAAUCAGAUUGCAGAUACAUUGGAAAACUAAGAUUAAAUUGAAAAUUCGUCCACAUACAUCAAAGGCCCAUGGGUUUGAGCAAUUACAAUAGAUUGAAUCUAAUCUGAUAAAAUCUUUCCUAAACAAAUCAAUCAGACAUAAUUUAUGACCUAAUUCUAAAUAUUAUAAAAGCCUAAGACAAAAACUAAAAAAGGACGGAAAAAAUUAGAACAAAAAACCCUAAGUUGCUGCAGAAUCCCAACCAAAACACCAAAGCUCCGAUUGAAGCAUUUAGGGUUUCACAUAGAAACCCUAAGUUGACUUGAGCAUCAACCUCUAUUCAACCACCUGGAACGUACAAAAAAAAGACAGACAAAGGGAGUCAGAGGAAGAGAAAACAAAAAGAAAAAAAAAGAAUCAGGAAAGUUGGAAAUUUUACCUUUACCAGAGAUCCUUAUCUCUAUAGGUUGGUAGACAUUGAUACUUACUCUUUUGUUGUUUCUUAGAUGAGAUGGAAUGUAUAUUAAUAUUUGUUGGUGAUUUGUGUUGUUUUAAUGUGGGUUAGGGUUUGGUUUAGGGUCAUCCAGAAGGGGCUCUAGGUUCUUAGAGUAUGAGAUUUUGUUGAUUGAUUUUCGAAUUUGAGGGUUUAAUUCAUUAGCAAAGUGUUUGAAUUUAUGGCCAGGACUCAAGUUUGGAUGGAUUUGGGUGAGGAAGGUGAGAAUUUGGGUUAGGUGAGUGGUUGGCCGAAGGACGGAGAUGAAGAUUCAUAUUCUCCAAGGUAAGGGUUCUUAGGCUGAUAGGAUUCAUGGGUUAAGGUUCAUGAGUUAGGGUUCAUGAGUUAGGGUUCUUAGAUUAUUAGGGUUCAUGGGUUUGGGUUCUUAGGUCGUUAGGAUUCUACUAGGUUUGUGUUAGGGUUCAUGGAGUUGGAUGAAGUCAAUGGUUAGGGUUCAUCAAUUGGGUAGGGUUAUAAGGGCUAAGGUUGAAUGUUUGAAGAUCUAGGUUGAACUUCAACCAGAGAUCUGAGGGUCACGAUGGUGCUAAGGAUAGAAAUAGUGGGGGAUGUUAGUCAGAAGGGAGAGCAUGGAAGUAAGAGAGAAAAGGAGUCUGAAAGAGUGAUAGGAGUGAGAGAAGAAAAGAGGAGAAAAUAAAA